rnacentral:lncRNA from 1 species
AAUGAACAUUAUAAUGAAAGAAGGAUGGUAAUAAGAGUUAGAAGGACCUAAUCCAAGAAUUUUCUUUCCCAGAAAAUGGAGAGUUUAUUGAGGAGAACUUUUAAGUCUUUAGUAAAGCUUUUGUUUCAGGAUCAGAACUGGAGAUUGAAAUGUGUAAUUAUUUCCUAAUCUUACUCCCUUUAUCUAUUGAAAAUACUUGACAGGCAUGAAGAAAGAGUGAAUUCAGAGCUUCCAAACUAUAUUCCAAAUCAAGGAACAAGAUCAACCAGGAGGAUUCUUAACAUGUGUCUCUUAUUUAUACUCUCUAUAGGAAUGACCUCCUUAUGCUCAAAUACAUAGACAAAAAGCAUCACUAUCAAGAAGAGAUGGCCAGAUUCAGUCAUUCAUUCCUUCUACCACAUUAAGAGAAUGGUACUAGGCUUGUACUAGGCUUUAGGAAUAGAGAUCCAUAUCCUUGAAAAGUUCAUAGAUGAAUAAAGAAAGAUUUCACUCUCUUCCCCAUCAUGAAUUAAUACUUAAUUAUAUUUCAAUAUUUGGCGUAGGUAUCCACUUUGUCCAGGACAUGGGCUGGUUUUCCAGGAUGGCCUAAGG